rnacentral:lncRNA from 1 species
AGGGGCGGCAGGUAGCCUAGUGGUUAGAGUGUAGAGGCGGCAGGUAGCCUACUGGUUAGAGUGUAGAGGCGGCAGGUAGCCUAGUGGUUAGAGUGUAGAGGUGGCAGGUAGCCUAGUGGUUAGAGUGUAGAGGUGGCAGGUAGCCUAGUGGUUAGAGUGGAAGGGCGGCAGGUAGCCUAGUGGUUAGAGUGUGGAGGCGGCAGGUAGCCUACUGGUUAGAGUGUAGAGGCGGCAGGUAGCCUAGUGGUUAGAGUGUAGAGGUGGCAGGUAGCCUAGUGGUUAGAGUGUAGAGGAGGCAGGUAGCCUAGUGGUUAGAGUGUAGAGGUGGCAGGUAGCCUAGUGGUGAGAGUGUAGAGGUGGCAGGUAGCCUAGUGGUUAGAGUGUAGAGGUGGCAGGUAGCCUAGUGGUUAGAGUGUAGAG